rnacentral:tRNA from 1 species
GGGUUUAUAGCUCAGUUGGUUAGAGCACUACCUUGACAUGGUAGGGGUCGUUGGUUCGAAUCCCAUUAAACCCACCA